GUCAGCACCCCGUACUGAAGUAACGGGGCUUCAUGCCUCGGAUUCCUCAGUUAGUUGACCAGUCUAAGCCUUAACUGGCUACGUUAUUUAAGCCAUGAUACCUUGAGGUGCUUGCCAGCCUCUCGCUCUAUC
rnacentral:sRNA from 20 species